rfam:Microlunatus soli strain DSM 21800 genome assembly, chromosome: I
GGAUCGUCUUCAUCCACUACGGAUCGUCGGGCACGUACCUGCCCGUGGAAGGAAGUG